rnacentral:sRNA from 1 species
ACAAGGGCUCUGUAACUCGAACUAUUAAUAUGAAGUGGCUGUCAGUUAUUUGCAUUUUGGGAUCCCUUUUGGCUUUUGCCAGUGCUUCUCCAUUAGCCCCUGGAAAUGUUAUAAUAAAAGGAGACUGCAACAAUUGUAAUGUACAUGGAGGAUAAAAUUUAAUAUUUCUCGUCCAUCUAUCUUUUUAUUAAAAAUGUUGAUAAAACUAUAAUCAUAUUGAUAUAAUUCAUUUAUUUGUUUUUUAUUUAAAAGAUAAUUUUCACUGAAAACCAAUAAAAGGUUUCAGAAAAAAAACCCCACACUCUUAGUCCCAAAAAAUAUACUCCAUUAAUUUAGGUAACAAAAUAUAAAGA